ACUGCCCGAUGGAGGGGGAUAACUACUGGAAACGGUAGCUAAUACCGCAUAACGUCGCAAGACCAAAGAGGGGGACCUUCGGGCCUCUUGCCAUCGGAUGUGCCCAGAUGGGAUUAGCUAGUAGGUGGGGUAACGGCUCACCUAGGCGACGAUCCCUAGCUGGUCUGAGAGGAUGACCAGCCACACUGGAACUGAGACACGGUCCAG
rnacentral:rRNA from 1 species